rnacentral:lncRNA from 1 species
UUAAAAUUAACUUUUUUCUCAGCAAAAUUAUUAUAUAUUUAUUGUAUUAGGAGACAAAAAAUAUUAAUACAUCAUUAAUCUAUUUAGAAUGAGGUCCACAAAAAUCUACUAAUGUAACACUCGUAUUCUUCUUCUUCUUCAAUUUUAGCCCUCCCAUCCCAUCUCUCUUUCAUUUGUACUCUCUCCCACCUCUCUCAUCGUGAUAGCACCUAUCACCCUCUGCUGCUGUUGUAACUAGCCCCAGACCACCACCAAACAUCAUCCCCAACUUCCCUUAGCUGCUGCUGACCAAAGUUGCAGCAGCUUCUCGCCGGAAAAACGUUUUGAAGCGGAGGAAGAAGCAACGUGCGGCUGCUAUUUCUCGUUCCUGCCUCUCUAGGCAUUGUCGACACCCAAUAUUGGUGGCGUUAGACUCUCUGAGGGCUGGAGAUCAUUUCUGGAAAGUUUGGGUAGCCGACGUUGUCAUUUGGGUGGUGAUCGGAGCUUGCUGGAGCAAAAUCUUUCGAGGGCCGAUUUGCACAAACCGUGAAGAGUUAGGAUGAAAUCUUUAUAUGGUUGGACUCUUGACAUUAUAGGCUUCGCAUGGGUGGUCUCAGAUUUCAUUUUAGGCGAAGUUGAAAUUUUUCGACCACCGCGGUUGGCGGCGCUCUGAUUUGCGUGCCGAGAAGCAGAAUAUCUGCAAAUUAAUUUCGAAAUUCUUGACAGUAUUGGUUUUUUUAAAAUUUGACUCGAAUAAUUGAUUAUAAAUUUUAUUUUUGAAAUUAUAAAAUUAAAUUAAAAUUAUUUAAUUAAAUUGAUUAUUAAUAAUUAUUAUUUUAUCGGUGUGUUUAUAAGUUCAUUGAAUUAUUUUAAAUGCUGGGAAUGUUAUUAUGCAUUUGGAUAAAUUAUUCGGUAGUUAUAGAGUAAAAAAUAGAAAUAAAUAAAUAAUUUAGUAUAGAAAAAAGUUUAGAGAAAAGGAAAACAAAGAAUUCCUAGAUAAAUUGCAGUUAAUAAAUAAAGAAAAAUAUAAUAUAAUAAAUAAAUAGUUAAAUUGUAAAAUAAAAUUUAAAAUAUAGUAAUAAAAUGUUGUUAUAUAUAAUAAAGAAAUAAAUAACAUAAUAUUUAUUCAAAUAAAUUAGAUUUUAAAAAGUUUUAUUAUUAUAAUUAUAAAUUAAAAGUAUAAUUAAAAGUAUGAUUAUAACUCCAUCAUUAAAUGAGAUUUUUGAGUGACAGAGUAGAAGGAAGAAGCAAAAGAGAUUAGAUAAAUAUGUAUGGAUCUAUUAUGGAUAUAUUUUAAUUUAAUUUUUUAUAA